GACAGAGGGUGCAAACGUUGCUCGGAUUUACUGGGCGUAAAGCGCGUGUAGGCGGGCGACUAAGUCGGAUGUGAAAUCCCUGGGCUCAACCUAGGAACUGCAUUCGAAACUGGUCACCUAGAGUGAUGGAGAGGAAAGCGGAAUUCCCGGUGUAGAGGUGAAAUUCGUAGAUAUCGGGAGGAACACCAGUGGCGAAGGCGGCUUUCUGGACAUUUACUGACGCUGAGGUGCGAAAGCGUGGGGAGCAAACAGG
rnacentral:rRNA from 1 species